AUUGAACGCUGGCGGCAGGCCUAACACAUGCAAGUCGAACGGUAACAGGAAGAAGCUUGCUUCUUUGCUGACGAGUGGCGGACGGGAGAGUAAUGUCUGGGAAACUGCCUGAUGGAGGGGGAUAACUACUGGAAACGGUAGCUAAUACCGCAUAACGUCGCAAGACCAAAGAGGGGGACCUUCGGGCCUCUUGCCUUAGGAUGUGCCCAGAUGGGAUUAGCUAGUAGGUGGGGUAACGGCUCACCUAGGCGACGAUCCCUAGCUGGUCUGAGAGGAUGACCAGCCACACUGGAACUGAGACACGGUCCAGACUCCUACGGGAGGCAGCAGUGGGGAAUAUUGCACAAUGGGCGCAAGCCUGAUGCAGCCAUGCCGCGUGUAUGAAGAAGGCCUUCGGGUUGUAAAGUACUUUCAGCGGGGAGGAAGGGAGUAAAGUUAAUACCUUUGCUCAUUGACGUUACCCGCAGAAGAAGCACCGGCUAACUCCGUG
rnacentral:rRNA from 1 species